UCUUCACACAUGACGCAAGCUGUGACAUAUAUAUCUUGUAACUUUGUAAGUACUUAGGAGGCGGUGUUAAAGUCAAUCAGUCAUUCAAAUUCAAUUUCUCCACCUAUCCAUGAUAGUCAAAAGUUGCUCGAUCGGCUUAGUGGAAAUCAGGAUGCUCAACGUACGUUUGGUUCCGUAUGCUGCAAGCCAGAUGCCGAGGCAGCUGGGAUCAUGACCCCCUCAUUAGGUGUUUCCAUGGUGGACCGGGCAGUGGCGAAAAUCCAUGUAGCGUCCAUCUGUUUGCUGAUCAUCCGUGCUGCAUAGUACGGAAUCUUAACCCUCUGGCUACUCUUCUCAGACUUGAUGCACCCAUUGAUGAACAUGACACAGUCC